AUACUUACCUGGACGGGGUUAAUGGGUGAUCAACAAGGCCCAUAGCCUAGGCAUGUGACUUCCACUGCACUUGGGAGGGGUGUAUGCCUAAGGUCUACUUGAAUAGUGGAGCCUACGUCAUAAUUUGUGAAAGUGGGGGCCUGCGUUCGCGCAGCCCCUUC